GGUUUUUAGAAAUUUAUUAAAAAUCCAACCUGCUCAAUGCUAAAAGUAAAUAGCCGCGGUAUUAUAACUGUGCAAAGGUAGCAUAAUCAUUUGUCUUUUAAUUUAGGACUGGAAUGAAUGGUUAGACUGAUUAAUUUUGUCUUAUAUUUAAUAUUUUGAAAUUUACAUUUUAGUAAAAAGGCUAAAAUUUUUCUUAAAGACAAGAAGACCCUAUCAAGCUUUACAAUUUAAGAUUUUUUUUCAUAUUAAUUAUAAAAUUGUUUUACUGGGGCAGUAGGUAAAAAGUUUUUACUUUUAAAAUAUGAUUUAAUUUUCUUGAACUAUCAAAAAUUUUUUAAAAAUAAAUAAGUUACUGUAGGGAUAACAGCAUAAUUUUUUUUAAAAGUUCUUAUUAUCAAAAAAGUUUGUGACCUCGAUGUUGGAUUAAGAAUCCUAAUUCAUGCAAUAAUGAAAUAAGGAAGUCUGUUCGACUUUUAAAUUCUUCCA
rnacentral:rRNA from 1 species